CAGCGUGGAAAGGAGCUACGUGAAAGUGGCUGCACUGAAAAUGAAGGUCACAGGAAGUCCGACGAAGACUGGAUCGCUGUGAACCGGAGAAUACGCGCCAACACUUCACGGUCCCGCGCCGUGCCAGUUUUUUUAGAAGCCGGGCAUUGCCCGACGGAGAGAGCCAGGUGUCACGGGAGAGGAGAACCCUUUGCACCCUCAGCCUUCGCGCUCCCGUUCAACCCACUGGGACGCGGGACGGCCCUGAUCUUUCCUCUGACUUGCUCUCCAGUCUCUAGUUCCCCACCGACCAGUCGAGUUCUGCGGCACCAGAGGGCCGUUGCCUACAACCUCCUGACCCGCUGUCUGCCUCUGCCCGACAGCUCCAAACAGAGGCUCCCUCACCCCGUUGGCGUUCUCUGUGGGCCCUUCGCACGGAACGUUCCAGAAGGCCCUGCCACGUUGCAUGGGUUAGCUCCAUGCACUGCGCUCUUGGAGGGACGUAGAAGAAAACGUCAUCCCGUUUUCUUCUGAAGACACAGAAGAAGUUUUAAGAAGUAAAGGAACUUCUCCAAAGACAUACUCUAGACAUCGGCAGCUCAGGACAGACAAACCCAAAGCCUGGUAGCACGAACCAUCUUAACAUGCACGAGGCCCCUGCAAGUCCUUGCAGAUCCGGCAAGUCGAGAUAGAAUUUCUGGUCUAGUCAAUGAAGGUCUUGCAGCGUGGUGACGCUCCCAGAUGAAGUUCUGGCCUGAAUUCUUGAAUUGAGGAAAGAAAAGUGAAGUUUAAAAAUACAAAAAAAAAAAAAAAAAAAAAAAACAAACAAAAAACCAGGGGCUGUCUGGGUGGCUCCAUCGGUUAAGUGUCCAACUCUUGACUUUGGCUCAGGUCGUGAUCUCGGGGUCGUGAGGUUGAGCCCCGGGUCGGGCUCCAUGCUGGGCGUGGAGUUUGCCUAAAAGACUCUCUCCCUCUCCCUCCACCCUUCAUCCCCACCCUCUCUCCAAUAAAUAAAUAUAUAUAUUUUUUAAAGGAUACA
rnacentral:lncRNA from 12 species